GAAGAAGCAUAUGAUUCUUCAUCAAUGAUGGGUUUUUUUGGUUUACUCACAUCAGAACGCAGAGGAGAUAGAAAAUGGAAGCAUUUUGAUGCCAUUUCUUUAACAUGUAUGUAAGGCUAAAAUGUUGCUGGUACUCAUUUUAAUAUUUGUCGGAAAUGAUCAUUAUUGGAAAUGAUGCAUGUUUUUCCCUAAUUUUCCAUACAUUUUCCAGUUCUUUCUAUAUUCAUCAUUUUGGUUGAUUUUUUUUUAUUUUUUUUUUUGGUUUUUAUCUAAUAUUUGUAGUAGCCAUGAAGGGUGAUUGUUAUUAUGUUGGUGACUUUUUUUUCCGUUCUGUCCCGCCCUUUCCUAU
rnacentral:lncRNA from 1 species